CUCUCUACUCCCAGUGCAAAUUGCCCCUGCCCUUCUACUCCCAGUGCAAAUUGCCCCCUGCCCUUCUACUCCCAGUGCAAAUUGCCCCCUGCCUCUACUCCCAGUGCUAAUUGCCCCAGCCCUUCUACUCCCAGUGCAAAUUCCCCUGUCCCUCUACUCCCAGUGCUAAUUGCCCCCUGUCCCUCUACUCCCAGUGCAAAUUGCCCCCUGUCCCUCUACUCCCAGUGCUAAUUGCCCCCUGUCUCUCUACUCCCAGUGCUAAUUGCCCCUUUGUCCCUCUACUCCCAGUGCAAAUUGCCCCCUGUCCCUCCCUUUUCAUCUCUCCAAUCCUGACCGCAGCUUCCCUUGUCCCUCUACCC